AGUGCAAUUUUAAAUUUCCCGGGAAAUAUCCGGCUGAAAACGUCUCGGUAUGAUGACGUUUGCACGUGACGUCACGGAUUGUGCGGAAGUAUUGGGACACCACUGUGUCCUAAUACAAACAGCGUCUGUUUUCAUCGCAAAAUUCCACAGUAUUCUGGACAUCUGUGUUGGUGAAUCUUUUGCAAUUUGUUUAAUGAACAAUGGAGACUGCAAAGAAGAAAGCUGUAGGUGGGAUCGGUGUAUUAGCGGCUGGCUACAGCAACACAACCAGGAGGACUUUGAGUUGGAUAGCAGACCGUUUCGUUGAUCGUGGUGAAGUCCUCCGUCGCGCCGUCGAUCGCUGGAACGCAGCACAGGUGAUGUAGUCUCCAGGUGACAAGGUGACUUCUACUUUGGUUCCAUUCAUUAUAUUUGCUCCAUUCUGAUGCCACACAAAAGACAAAGGAGCUUCUGGAAGGCAGCUUGUGUGACACAACAUUUGUGCAACAAGUGUACAGAAUAAGACAGAUGGGGCCGGAGCUCGAUACAGUGCAGUGUGCUGAUUGGAGGACAUUUCCAGAAUGUGAAGAAGACCAAAAACAAGAUGCCCUCCAUUGUAGUUCUGUGUUGGCGCCACGCUAUGAUGUCACUGUGGCUGGGCCCGCCUACUCACAGCAGACAAUCCUGACCUCAAACUGGACUGAGCUUAGUGGAAAUGUGUUUUAUGGAAAGCAGUACCAGUGACGGUCAUUUUGACACCAGGCGUGACGAUGAAGUCUCCUCUGGAAUGGUUGGUUGUGAAUCUGAACGUGUACUCGUCACUCAGUCUCACGUCUGCGAUGGUCAGACUGCAGAGGUUGCCAUGACAGUCAGACUGCACACCACCAAAGUACUGAGGGUCCAAUCUCAGAUCUUCAUUCGGAUCUUUGGUGAACCAAAAUGUUUCCUUAACCUUGAUCUCACGCCCGUCUUCUGUGGGCGGGAACUUAAAGGAGCACUGAAGCUUUACAGUGGAUCCUUUAAUUGCACAGAUCUCCCUCUCAAUGUAGGCCCCCCCCCCCACUCAGCACUGAACAGCCCUGAAACACACAACAUCACAAGUACUUCAUCGAGUACUUCACUUAUUAAAUACUGUUUCAGCAACUUCAUUACACACCAAAAGAAGUAGUAUGAAACAAGUACUAUGACUAAAUGAAACUUCAGGUACACAUUUUGGGGUUUUGGGUGCUUCUCACUUUUCUAAACGGCAUUUCUUUCUUCCAGUUCUCGUCUGAGAUUAACUGUUUUGAAAUACAUCAUAUGAGGGGAGAAAAGUGUAGUUAGCGUCAUGUGAAGAUGUUUACUUCUUUCCUCCACACCUGUUGCGUAACUCUUGAUUGGAAUCAAUGAGAAGAU